GCGCUCUCUCAAGUCUCCUCUUACUGUGCCAUCGUGGGGAACAGUCUCAUAGAGACAGAGACAGUGUGUACCAUUUUAUAAUCUGAGAGCUCUGCGUCUUCUAAGACCUGAGGAAGGUCAUCCCAGCUUUCUGUCAGGAAAGGAAACAGCACUUCUCAAAAAAUAGAAAGAGCAUGAUAUGGAGCUGGAGAGGAGGGGAGAGGAGAACAGAAGCCAAGGUGGGAAAGGACACCUGGCAGAGACAACAUCUGGAUCCUGAACCUGGAGGAGAAAUCCACUUAUAUCUCACUUUAGAUUUGCCAGCUGCUUUUAUUUUUAUUUGGACUUACAGAAAGGUGAGGCUGGGUGUGGUGUCUCAUGCCUGUAAUCCCAGCACUUUGGGAGGCCGA
rnacentral:lncRNA from 1 species